UCAAUGUCUUUUAUCUCUGAAAACGGAAGCGAGUGUUUGACAGAACACUAUGGCCACUCUAUAAGAGUGGGCGUAGGAGCAGUUCACUGCCCUCCUCCGGUGCCACGGCUUUAAGACAAAACAGGGAAACAGAAGCCACCACAGCGUGUCAGGUGCCUACUCAGCCUGGCACACCUACAGUCACGCCUUCCUCUCUGAACCACAUCGCCUCUGGCUGCAUCACCAGCCUCUACAAUUGUUUACCUAAUUAAUUCAACUGACCCCAGAACAUUUGUGAAUCUUGACACAGGUCCUCAGCACUCCCUGCAUGCAGACAACGCCAGUGUUCCCAGUCUUCUCUACGUCUCACCACCCAACACUAAAACACAAGAUGGACACAAACCCACGGAGCCUGCGACCCACCUAGGUCUUCUCAGAGCUUCUCUUACGACAGAGCUCAGUCAGUGCAGGCUCUGAGCAUGCGCUGCACGUGCUGCUGCUCUGCCUCCGUCCUGAUGACCUGUGCACUGCUGUGCCAGCACUGUGCCCACACUGGCACCAACGCCUGCCAAGGCCUGCCUUUCAUGAUCACUGCCCGGGUUGCCUGCUGUCACAGACAGGCAACGUAAGACUGUGAGCUAGGGCUGGGCUCCAGCUGCCCUCGACCAGCCACGGCCAGGGAACUGCUGUGCUCCAGUCGGGAGCACUCUGACACAGAGGGGCCUGUGCGUGACCAGCCACGGCCCUCUCUGAACGUCCCUCUCUACUCUGUUCUGGACCUUUCCCUCGGCUGUAACAUUCAAGAGCCUGAGACAGGAGGCAGCAUAGGAGGGAGGGAAGACCAGAGCAAGGGAAAUGGCGCCUGGGGCAGAGGCUGUGUACAAAGUGCCUGGGUUCAAGCCCCAUACUAGACCCAAGGGCCAGGUGAGCUACCUUGGUGGACAAGGACUCUCAACACACGGAUAUCUGCUCGCCUUGGGUGCCCUUGUCCAAAACAGCCCGGAAGUGACCCACACUGCUGGAAGGGACGGGGCAACCGUCUGUGGAGAACAAAACUGCAGAGACGCAAGCUCGUUUGGGUUAGAGUAUAAUCACCGAGGCACAGCGUCAAUCAAGGAGCUGAGUCCUGUCUGUGCAACCACCCAACUUGUAGUAAAGAGAGGCGGGGGGAGGGGGCAUGAACUUUUGAUCGAAGACUCAUCAGGAUGAGGGCAGUGUGUGGGUCCACGUGAUUUCUCAAGUCUUCCUAUGGACAGGCUUAGACGCCCAGGUUUUGUGCUGUGAGCCAGCCCUGUGUGGCUGUGCUGAUUGUUCUCGUGAGUUUAUACAAAAUAAUCAUCUCAUCUUCAUUUAGUUAUAAACGUACACAGUGCUGUCCCUUUUGAAUUGAGGAAAA